UACGGAGGGUGCGAGCGUUGUCCGGAAUUAUUGGGCGUAAAGGGCUCGUAGGCGGUCUGUUGCGUCAGGAGUGAAAACUCGGGGCUUAACCCCGAGCCUGCAGUGGAUACGGGCAGACUAGAGGUAGGUAGGGGAGAAUGGAAUUCCCGGUGUAGCGGUGAAAUGCGCAGAUAUCGGGAGGAACACCGGUGGCGAAGGCGGUUCUCUGGGCCUUACCUGACGCUGAGGAGCGAAAGCGUGGGGAGCGAACAGG
rnacentral:rRNA from 1 species